CAAUGAUGUCGUUCGAUAUACAAAGCAAGUUCUACGCCGAACACUCCGUCCUGGAUAUAUGAUUAUGAACGGUGACUGUAAAGGGACCGUGCAAUUUCGAAGAUAAGGCGAGCUGGAAGAGAUGCUUGUCAAGAAUUACGGAAACAGCGCCAUCAUCUGACGAUGGCGCGCACGAGUAAACGGAUGCAUUUCGAGAUGGCUGCAUUGGCGUAACCAGUCAAUGAUCGAUCGGCUGGAAAUCUCCGCAACGAUACCGGGCAGAAUUAACCCUUGAGAUACUCUCCGUGUGUCUCACGGGCCCUUCAGUCACUUGAAAUUAUUGGCGAGCACGGAGUAUUCAGAGGCGAUGUUUUCGCGUGGCUAAUUAACGUCUCACACGAACGGAUAUCCAAUUUUGCAUCCUACGUGCGAACGUGAAGAGCGGAUUUUUAAUCGAGUCCAACGAAAGGAGGCAUUAAACGAUUCCAAAGCGUCCUAUCAGGUUUUACGAGCAGCGUCUAAAGUUGUUUUACUGUUGCUGAUAUUGAGGUUACGCGAAACGCCGGUUCACCACCGACUAUUCCAAGUAUUUUAGUACGCUCGUUAUUCUGUUUGUCUGGUAAACGCGCAUAGAAAUAGCGAAUGAUACAACUUUUUUCACGCGUUCUUGACCUUUCGACAGAACGACCGUCCUCCCCGCGCGUUC